AUUGAACGCUGGCGGCAGGCCUAACACAUGCAAGUCGAGCGGCAGCGGGAAAGUAGCUUGCUACUUUUGCCGGCGAGCGGCGGACGGGUGAGUAAUGCCUGGGAAAUUGCCCAGUCGAGGGGGAUAACAGUUGGAAACGACUGCUAAUACCGCAUACGCCCUACGGGGGAAAGCAGGGGACCUUCGGGCCUUGCGCGAUUGGAUAUGCCCAGGUGGGAUUAGCUAGUUGGUGAGGUAAUGGCUCACCAAGGCGACGAUCCCUAGCUGGUCUGAGAGGAUGAUCAGCCACACUGGAACUGAGACACGGUCCAGACUCCUACGGGAGGCAGCAGUGGGGAAUAUUGCACAAUGGGGGAAACCCUGAUGCAGCCAUGCCGCGUGUGUGAAGAAGGCCUUCGGGUUGUAAAGCACUUUCAGCGAGGAGGAAAGGUUGAUGCCUAAUAUGUAUCAACUGUGACGUUACUCGCAGAAGAAGCACCGGCUAACUCCGUGCCAGCAGCCGCGGUAGUACGGAGGGUGCAAGCGUUAAUCGGAAUUACUGGGCGUAAAGCGCACGCAGGCGGUUGGAUAAGUUAGAUGUGAAAGCCCCGGGCUCAACCUGGGAAUUGCAUUUAAAACUGUCCAGCUAGAGUCUUGUAGAGGGGGGUAGAAUUCCAGGUGUAGCGGUGAAAUGCGUAGAGAUCUGGAGGAAUACCGGUGGCGAAGGCGGCCCCCUGGACAAAGACUGACGCUCAGGUGCGAAAGCGUGGGGAGCAAACAGG
rnacentral:rRNA from 1 species